rnacentral:tRNA from 1 species
CAAGACGUAGCUACAACCCCAAAGCAUUCAGCUUACACCUGAAAGAUACCCUCAGCCAAUAGGGUCGCCUUGA